UUGCAACGGUCCUCUACAUUUCCUAUAAAUAUAGGAUCCCAUCUAAUUCCCAAUAGAGUACAAACACUUAUUCCAAUCUCUACUUAUUCUCUAAAAAAAUUUUCUCCUCCUGUUGUAGGUAGCUGUGUCUUUUUCACGCAAUACUUUCUCUUCUCGUUCUCUUUCUUUUUUUUCCCCGCAAUUUUCAUAACGAAACAACAAUUUUCGUGCUUCAGCCCUGGCUUCGAGAAGAGCCUCACCUCGAUCUCCAAUUAGGGUUCCUCCACUCUCUCGACGUUUUUACAAACCUCAGCUUCGACGUUUCCUCUCUCAACCGCCUCUUCGACGCUCCCGCGUUCCUGUUCUUCAAGGACCUCACCGUCGAUCGCAUCACCUUUAGAUUAUCCUGAGGCGGGAUCUUGCUUCUGAGAUUAUUUCUCAUUUUGUGAUGAAUGGGACUAGUGUGACUGAAAUUGUAAAGCAUCCGAUCACAGUUUUGAAGAAAAAGGAUGUUGAUUUGGCUUUCAUUUUUCUGGAAGCGCUUAAAAAGGUUAGUCUUUUGGCGCAUUUCCUAAAUGGUAGAUGUAUUUGGAUUUUCUUUUGUCUUUACAAGUUCUAUUUUAGCAAUGAUAAACAGUCCAAUUUUUGCCAUGUGUCCUGUUUACUUCACAUCUAAAUGUAAAAGUAUCUCAUGAGUGUAUUCUUGGUCAACACAAAUUGACAUGAAUUCAUAUUAUUCUUGUGAUGACACUCCUAUUUACUUGAAA